AUUGAACGCUGGCGGAAUGCUUUACACAUGCAAGUCGAACGGCAGCACGGACUUCGGUCUGGUGGCGAGUGGCGAACGGGUGAGUAACAUAUCGGAACGUAUCCAAUAAUGGGGGAUGACGAGUCGAAAGAUUCGCUAAUACCGCAUACGCCCUACGGGGGAAAGCUGGGGACCUUCGGGCCUGGCGUUAAUGGAGCGGCCGAUAUCUGAUUAGCUAGUUGGUGAGGGAAAGGCUCACCAAGGCGACGAUCAGUAGCUGGUCUGAGAGGACGACCAGCCACACUGGAACUGAGACACGGUCCAGACUCCUACGGGAGGCUGCAGUGGGGAAUUUUGGACAAUGGGCGCAAGCCUGAUCCAGCCAUUCCGCGUGAGUGAAGAAGGCCUUCGGGUUGUAAAGCUCUUUCGCAAGGGAAGAAAACUUAGCCACUAACAUUGGUUGAGGUUGACGGUACCUUGAUAAGAAGCACCGGCUAACUACGUGCCAGCCGCCGCCGUAA
rnacentral:rRNA from 1 species